UCUGCAACAGACUCUCCUCUCUGUUUUUCUGCACAAUCGAUGUUCCCUCUUCUUGUUGAGGUAAAUGGCUUCAGAUUCUGAGUCCACUGAAAUCCCUCCAUUAGAUCCGGCUACAACUUUUACUGAUGCUCCAUCGUCACACAAAAAAUUGGAACAGGAAUAUUACAAUAUCCAGCGAGGCCUAACAAUAAUGGAAGAAGUCACAAAAACAAGAGCAGCAAGGAAAAAAUAUCAGUGCAGUGGAACAAGAAAGGCCAAGCCAUCAAAUCUGCAAAGUUUAUAAGUUAUAUUGGGGUUGUGGCAAAGACAACUGUACCUAUCACACAAAAAUCUUGGCGCAAAGUUGAUCAAGCCACGAAGGACAUUGUUUGGGAGACUGUAUCUUCAGGAUUUGAAAUAGACGAAAGCAAGAAGGAUUUUGUCUUUCAAAAGGCUGGGAGGGCAUUACGGUCUUUCAGACAUUUUAUUACACAAAAAUAUUUGAAAGACCUUAAUGCUGAAUUUGUAGCCCAAGUUCCUCCCCUAUUACAGCCUUUAGUAAAGCAAGAAGAUUGGGAUGCUUUUGUUAUCUCUCGGCGCGAGAAGGAAUUUAAGGGACUGAGCGCCCAAAAUAAGAAGAGAGUAGCCAAGAAUGAAUACCCUUACAAAGCAGGGAGGUUAGGGUAUGCAGGUGUGGAGCAGAAAGAAGUUGAGGCUGAGGGAUCGGAU